rnacentral:lncRNA from 1 species
AAUUUUAUACAGUUUUUUUUAUAAAUAUAUCAAAUAACAGUUAUAUUUCUACAAAGUUUAACUUUUUAUAUUUAUCUCCACAAAAGUCCUAAUUUUUUAAAAUAAGAAAAAUGGAGUUAACCACAGGUAAAAUACUCAAACCUGAUUAGUGAAUAGAGUAAAUUAACCUUUUUAUCUAUUUUAUAUUAUUUGUGAUAGUAGAGCGGAAGAAGACGACUGUUGAAAAUUUUUAGGAGGAUUUUUCUGUAUAAUCCUAAUAGUUGGAACUUUUGAAGGGACAUAUUUAUGAUAGCAAAAAUAUUAUUUUAUUUAUCUUCUGUUGAAAAAUCAAUAGUAAUCUAACGGUAAAAAAUUAAGGGGCAAAUUUGAGUAUGAUUGAACUUUGGACUUUUGCAGGAAUAAAUAUGAAAAAUUAAACUUUGUGUGAAUAUAUUUGUUAUUCGAUAUAUUUACAGAAAACUGUAUGAAAUUAACUCUUAAAUUUACCAUCCAUUCUUUUAAAUUAUUUAAUUUGAAUCACUCAAUAUUUUUUUGAUUUAAAACUAAAAUUAAUUAUUUUAAUAAAUUAAUAGUUACGAGAAUUGCAUAAAAUAUACUAAUUAAAUCUAUACAAAUAAACAAUAAAUUUAAAUUUUAAAACUAAAAUACCAUUGGUCAAUUCAAAUUAAAAAAUAUUAAAAAUUAAAAAUUAAAAAUUUUAAAAAUUAAAUAAAUAAUUUAAAGUAAUUUAUAAUUCAGAUAAAUUCUAUUCAUUCAUUAUUACUUUUUAUCCUUAUUAGCU